AAGCAAAAUGUUAAGCAAAAACUUCUUGCCAGUAAUAACUUCCUGGUUGUCAGGAAGAAGUGAGCAUAUUUUAAAGGUAUAUUGCUCGACAUUGACUAGCAAUAGCUCAUAUUUGAAUGAAGCCAAAUAUAAAAACACUGAACAGAUGAAGAAGGAGGUCGAAGAAAUAAAAGUAACAGUGAAGAAGAUGAAAAAAAAAUUUAUAUUUGACGAUAAAGAGAUACUCCAUAUUUUGAACUAUGUGCACAGUGUUAAUCCAGAUUUAAUUAAUAUUUGUACAGAAAAGUUGAAAUUACAUAAGGCAGAUGUUGAUGUGUUAUAUUUUAUUGACAGAGAUUCCGCUGCAGAAUAUCUCUCUUUGAUUAAAAAUGAUCUUAUAAAGAAUACAUGUUUUGUUGCCGAGAUGAAUCCUGGUUAUGGUCUGUUGACUACAGAAUUAUUAAAACUUGAUAUACCAUUGAUUCAUCUAUACGAAGCAAAGAAGGAAUUACAUCCGAUACUGAAUGCAAUCCAUAACACGUAUCCUGGAAGAUUGGAUCUGCGAACUUUUAAUCUCCUUUCAAUGUACUACUCAUUUUAUAAACUUAAAGACGAGAAUAAUAUUCAGCAAAUUUUUCAAGGAGUGGAAAAUAAAGAAUGGGAAGAUGAAACUUCCAUGCAGAUAGUUGGUGCAACAUCUAGCAAAUUAUUUUUUCCUCAUCUUAUACAAAGUUUAUUGUUUCGCAACUAUUUCAUGUCUUAUGGAAGACCUGUCUUCUAUUUAGCAAUAUCUCCAUUUUUGUGGCAUACAUACACUUGUGAUAUCAGUAACCACAAAAUAUACACUUUUACAAAAGUGAUGUUCCAAACAAUGUUUAAUUAUAAACUUCUGGGGACAUUAAAUAGAAAAGCUUUUUUACCUUGGCCAAGACGAAACAACAAAAAUAAGCAUAAGUUAACCUGUAUGUGGGCAAAACAGAAUUAUGAGCAAAUAAAUGUGAUAAAAGUUGAGCCAAAAAUCGAUCUUUACUCACAAUUAUCACCAGAAGAUUGGAUAACGUUUUCAUAUUUUGUAAAACAUCACAUGAAAAAACGUAGUAACCGAGUGAUAUCUGAAUUAGAAAAAUGGGUACCAGGUUGUGGAAUCAGAUUAAUAGCUAAAGACUACACAAUAUUUACACAGUUUGGUGACUUAACUCCAGUACAAAUAAUGGAACUUUUUAAGGAAUUUAAAUCUUGGCCUGAAUAUAAUGAGAGCAAUUUCUUAACUUCUAUGAAUGAUUUAAACAUUGUACAUAAUGAAAUAAUAGCUGCAGAACUCGAAGAUAACUUGAAGAUAGAUGAGUGAUUCUUCCAAAAGAUCCGAACACUUUUUUGUUGGUCUAUGUCAUAUCUUGGUGCGAGCGAUUUAACCAUUUUGAAUCGUGAUUCCGAGAAGCAUAUUUUUCUGAAGAAUUCCUCUUCCUCCUCUGUAUAUAUAUUUUAAACGGCUUUCUCGUAAAUUGCAUGGAUAUACGCACACAUAAAGAUGUACCGGUAUUAGUAGUGAAGAGGAUAUCGUUCAAUGGCACAGUUUCGAUUAACAAUGAAGUGCUUAUAUAUCAGUAUUGUGCUUCUUACGUAUAAUUAUAUGAUGAUACCUGGCCAGGAUCUUGCAUUUCCGAUUGAUGAAGAAACGUCCCACGUCAGCGGUGGAAAUUC